rnacentral:rRNA from 1 species
GCCUGGCCCUAAAUCUUGAUGCUCGAUCUUACCGGAGCAUCCGCCCGAGAACUACGAGCACUAACGCUUAAAACUCUAAGGACUUGGCGGUGCCCCAAACCCACCUAGAGGAGCCUGUUCUGUAAUCGAUGAUCCACGAUAUACCUGACCAUUCCUCGCCAGAUCAGCCUAUAUACCGCCGUCGCCAGCCCACCCAGCAUGAAGGCCCAACAGUGGACGCAAUAGCCUCACCCGCUAAUAAGACAGGUCAAGGUAUAGCCUAUGGAAUGGAAGCAAUGGGCUACAUUUUCUAAGUUAGAACAUAACGGCAAAGGGACAUGAAACUGUCUCUGGARGSAGGAUUUAGCAGUAAAGUGGGACAAUCGAGCCCUCUUUAAGCCGGCCCUGGAGCACGU